GCGCAAGAAGAAGGGCCCGUCGUCGUGACGUCGUCUCUGACCGAUGCAUGCAUGCGUGUGUCGGCGAUCGAUGGACAAAUUUUAGAUUAUGAUCAAUGGAGAAGAAGGCUUAGCUCUACACGUACGAAGACUAAAAUGCAUGCAAUAUGCAUUGGGGUAAGUGCUAAGUGGUUAAUUGGUGAUUUUUGCUGGUUAAUUAAUUAAUUACACGAACAUUAAUUUUUCCUUUUGAUCAUCAUCUUUUGUUUUUUUUCCUCUGAAAAUUCUCUUCUUUUGUUCAUUUUAGUUUCUUGGAGGUAGUACUUAUUAGCUAGGUAUGUAGUAGCUACAAUCUCUAAUUGUUUGUUGUUUAAUUCCCUCUUUUGUUCAAGUGUGAACUAAUUGUGCAAAUUAGUCCAGCUAAAUCAAAGACAGAGGAUUCUUAUUUAAUUAUUGGUUAAACAUGCCCCUUUUUUUAGAUAUGAAACAGUACACUUUUUUUUAAUUUCGGAAUGAUUGCGACCCCUUUUGUUUACAUCUUAAUUUGGAUUAUAGUGGAAGCUUCUUCGAUGAGUGAUCUCUUUGGCAGACAUUGGACAUGUCCAAAGUAAUUAAAUCACGUCGAUAAAAUGAAUUUUAGAUUACCUUUAGGAAUAACAUUUUGUUUGUUUGGUAACAUGCAUGAUGGGUAUCAAUCAAAUUUAACUAGGUUGGAAAAGAAAAUGGAAUCUUCUCUAUUAGCUUCUCUUCUUAUUAAAAGAUUUGACUUUUGUUUGUUCAGACUACUUUUAUUACUUGUUGCAAUAUUGGGCAUCUGUUCUAUCAAUUUAUCAUCUACUUAAUUAGCUAAUCCUCCUAUCUCAUUCUCAAAUGUAAUUAUAUUUGAGCAUGUGUCAUAGUGGUAUGGAUGCCUUUAAUGCAUGUAGCAUAUUUCAAACUCCAACCAUAUGUACUUUUAGGAAAAAUUAAAGUUGGAACCGUAACAAGAAUAAUCUAGAGAGAACCAGAAAGCUGCAGUUUGGUGAGGGCAUUUUACUUUUGCAACGAUGCUUUGAGAUGAUGAAGAUUAUCCACAACUAAGUAUAUAUAUAUUUAGUAGUAAUAAAAAAAUAUAUAGCUGAAGUCAUCCAUUUCUUUUUCCAAAUCACUUUUGUAUAUAUAUUUAAGCAUGUAUCAUAUAUACCAUGCUAGCCUCUGGUUUUUAAUGACAUGAACCUGCAUGUGCCACGUAGAUAUUUUAACUCCUAUAUGUGAUCUCAAUUAAGUUCUUAGUGUAAAUCUUAGAGUAUGUGGAUUUGUGAUUUGGUACCAUGUGUGGAGAUUUAUUCGAUCAAGUUGCCGGCAUGUGAUGAUACGAUCGAAAUAUGGAGGGGAACCUAGCUAUCAUGCAAGUAUAUCAUCCCCAUCCCGUGCAUCUAGAAGAUAAUAUGGUCGAUGCAUGUACCGAUUCAAUGCCAAAGCAAAUGCAUUCAACUGCAUUUUUUGUAUCUACAUAUUAUUUUUAUAUAGCAGUACAUAUAUAUGUCCAUGCAUCCAGCUAUAUAUAUAUGUGAAUGUGAGUGAGAAGAAAUACAAUCACACUAGCACGAUGAAUAUAUCUUCUUAUUUUUGUCGGAUUAUUCUGGUGGUUAAUUAAACUGUGCCUGAAUAUAAUUUCUGACGGUUUGGCCUAUGAGAACAAAAGGUGUACAUCGAUCUGCCUUGAUGUAAUUAACAAAGAGCAUCAUUACACCUAAUUUGUUUCCAUUAGGCCGGUGUACAUAUAUAUUCUUAAUUAUAUUGCAUGAAACCUAUUUAUAUAUAGUUCUUUCAAUUAAAGUAUUUAGUUGUAUAUCUUUCUAUACAUUCACACUGGGUGAUUGAUCGAUGUGGUGCUGUGGUACGUGUUGCCCCCUUUUCUUUUCCUUUGCUUUCAUGAUGGGUACAAGUAUCAAAAUUUGACACGCA
rnacentral:lncRNA from 1 species